AUUGAACGCUGGCGGCAGGCCUAACACAUGCAAGUCGAACGGAGUGGCGGACGGGUGAGUAAUGUAUGGGAAACUGCCUGGUAGGGGGGGAUAACGACCGGAAACGGGCGCUAAUACCGCAUACUAUCAGAUGAGCCUAGGUAGGAUUAGCUCGUUGGGGGGGUAAAGGCCUACCAAGGAGACGAUCCGUAACUGGUCUGAGAGGAUGAUCCGUGACACUGGAACUGAUACACGGUCCAGACUCCUACGUGAGGCAGCAGUGGGGAAUAUUGGACAAUGGGCGAAAGCCUGAUCCAGCCAUGCCGCGUGUGUUAAGAAGGUCUUCGGAUUGUAAAGCACUUUAAGUUGCGAGGCGUUACCAACAGAAUAAGCACCGGCUAACUUCGUGCCAGCAGCCGCGGUAAUUC
rnacentral:rRNA from 1 species